UGUGCGCUCCGGGCGGCCGCUGGGUGGCGCUGCGCAUCGCGGCAGCAGCAGCAGCAUGGCACUUCGCCUUUGUUUAUAGUGGAGCCCGUGAAGCGAGGGGCCAUGCUGCUGCUGCCCGCUGCUAUUGUUCCUAUCACGGAUUAACGCCGCACACGGAGGGCCCGUCGACCCCCGGGGUUUAUACCGUAGGUCACAGAGUUCCUGCUACUUUAAACAGAAAAACAACAGGCACCAUGCAUUCAUUGUCAACUUAUCAUCACGUGCAGAGCAAAAGUGAAUCAACAGUAUAAGGCAGCUGCAAAUGAAACAAAAUGUGACUCCACAGAAAACCUCUGAAAAGCAGCUAACACAUCUGCUGAGGGACGAAUUGAUCGCAGCAGGAUUUAAUAUGAAAAUACUUUUUCAACUGUGUUGAGGUGCAAAGAGUUAAAAACAGCAGGUAUGCCUAAGGCAAAGGCUUCGAAGAAGCGGCGCUAUAGGCCCGUAUCGGAAUUUGAUGAAGCCACCCUUGCUUGUAAAAGGGAAUACUGGAGGACUCAGAAGAGGGAGCAGAGAGCAAAAAUGUCCAUGGGCACGACAUCGCCCAGAAAUACAAAUACAAGAAGGUGUAAACGUGCUGUUACAACUUCACCUCAGACAAAUAAACCUGUGCCAGAUAAACCUCAUUCCCAGUUUACUCCUGCUUUUCCCCAAAGUGGUGGAUCAUUCCAGAAUAAUGUUACACAAAAACGAACCAGCGCAUGUCAUUUCACACCAGAAACCAAUGUUAGGACAGAAAUCAACCAAAAGAACACGUGUGGAAGGAGAAACCUCAAUAAGGUUGUACACCAGCUCCCUGAAAAUAAUGCAGACUCCACAAAGUUUAAAAGCUUCACCAACUUGUCUCAUUUCACACCAGAAAUUAGUGUUGGGACUGAAAUGAACCAAAAGGACACAUGGUGUGAAAGGAUCAACCUCAACAAAGUUGUAAACCAGUUCCCCGAAAAUAACACAAACUCUACAAGGUGUAAAAGCUUGAUCGCUAAGGAAUCAAAUGUGAAUGCUUCCAUGGUUAAGCUCAGUGGGUUACCGCCAAUCACCAACCCAGCAAUUUUACCAGUGCCUAGAGCUUGCGUAAAAGUACACGCAAACAUCACAGAAACUCGUCAGAUACCGAACCGACCGUCAGCCUUUAAUGGCAGCUUUUCCAGCAGUUCUCAGCAAUGCUCUGUAUCCAGGUUUACAGCACAGUGCAACCAACAAAAAAGGCCUCAAAUUAAGAUCUGUGUACCACCCAGAUCUUCUUCUUAUGUGGGAUGUAAAGUUAAUAUGGACCAGCAGCACAUCUUAGCAGGAAGACCCACCAUCCCAAAUAGAACAACGACAACAUGUGCCUAUGUCCCGGAAUGCAACACAACCCAAGACAGAACCACAGACCCACCAAUGACCGAAGAGGAACAGGCUGCUAAACGUAGAGAGAUCUGGCGUAUCAAGAAACGAGAGCAAAGGGCAAAACGAGCAGAAAAGCUAAAGAAGGACAAAGAGAAGUCCCAGUGUUUUGGAAAAGGGCAGCAGGAAAUUGGGAAGCUUUCCUGUGUGGCUCCAACACGUCCAUUACUCUCAGUGAACACAAUAGCUUUGAGAAGAGCCAAGCUACCAAACUCGGUCAAGUCUGUUGGUUUAAUACAGCCUGAUGGAAGACCAGCCCAUUUUACAGUCAAAUAUGGGAGCAACAUGAAGCAAUCUCCCUAUAAUCGUCCUUUACCAAGAGUAGACACACAAGUGUCAAUUGCCAAAAAUUUCUGUUCUGUUCCUGUCAAUAAAACAAAUCACAUUCUGCGCAUGAAACCAGUCCAAACCCAAAAUCAUUUGGCCAUAUUGCCAGGGGUUUCUUUUCAGGGGCCUUCAGGUGCUAUUCAUGUACCUAACAAACGCAAAAUCCAGCCACAGAGGCUGAUGCAUACCCCAAGGAGGCAAAGCUUACCGCAGCAGAACGACAGCGUGGAGACCCCUGAGGAGCGGCACGCUAAACAGAAGGAGUACUGGCGCAUCAAGAAGCGUUUGCAGAGAGCGAGGCUUGCCGUUCAGGUAAAAGCUCAUAUGAGGGAUGCACUUAAACAGUGCACAGUACGUAACCAGGGCUGCCUGGACCAACCACUUCACAAGACCCCAACAGGAGUCUUCCAGAGAGACCCGCAACCAAACAGGAACCUGCUUGGUGGUUCCUCGCAGACAGUUGGCCAAUUUAUCGAAGAGGAUGGAACAAUAUCGAUCCUGGAAAUAGGUUCACCAGCUACGAGUUGUGCCAGUGCAUGUGCUGUAAGAUCAUCGUACCCAACCCAAUCAAAUUCUCCAUCAGCCUUCCACUCACAAAAGCUAGUCAGUGUCAGAGGCAGAGGCAGGUCUUCUCUACAUGGGAUUGGAAUGAAUAGGAUGAAUUACAGAGGAAAUCUUCACCAAAGGUACACUGGUCAGAUGCACACCUCAACUGUUAAUCCUGUUGUCAGGACAAGAGUAGCUAAGUGUAUCUCAAAUUCUGACAUUCCCAAGGGCUUGACCAAAGCACGCAAGACUCAAGCGCCAACCCAGGAAGUCAAAGCAGGUUGUAGAAGGGGAUUGAGAAAUUCAGAUUCUUCUUCAAGUUCGGGAAUUACCGCAAGUUCAGACUUGGCACCUCAGAAUACUGUAAAAGAAGAACCUAGUUAUCCUUUGAUAGAUUCUGUAUAUUCCCUCGCAGAACCAAAAGAUAUUUGUACGAAUAGCAAAGACAUCAAAGCUGCCCCUUCACCUCCUCCUGAUACAAAGGUCGCGAAAGAGGUUUCUUCGUCAGGUUGUGACAACCAAGCAACCACUCUCUUAGUGGUGGCCUCUAUGCAGAAGCUUCUGGAAGAGUCUCUAAGCUCUGUGGUCGAGACUUGUGUCGCUUCUACAAGUACAGAUGUUUUCCUCCCCUGUAAAAUUGAAGAAGAACCCUGUCCUCAGGAGACCGAGGCAAGUGUAAAACCUGAUCCUACUACACGUCCCGGAGCAUCAGGUUGCAAGUUCGCUGGGUCCACCGACCCCUCCAUAGAGGUCAAACAGAGUUCAAAUCUGUGUCAUUCUCCCCCACAAGCCCCUGACUUUUCUGCUGAAGACACUGUCAUUUCAUGCCCAGGUUCCUUGGUUGAAAUCCCUUGUCCCAUCACUGCUGAAACCUCAGGCUUGAAUCCAAAUUUAAGGGAUAGAGCGCCUGAUCUGUCAGUGGCUGUAGGUGUGAGGCCUGGACGCAGAGGCACUCAAGCAAACAGUGUCAGGAGAGGACGAUUUCAACAGGCCUGUGGAGGUCAGCAGCAGAACGAGCGCAGUGAGCUUCAGAAGAAGAGAGAAUACUGGCGAAUAAUGAAAAGAAAGCAGAGGGCCAAAAAAGCCAAUGAGACAGAGGGAAGCAGACAUGUUGUACAGCACAAACAACUUUCUCAGCCAGUACAGAGAAAAUGGACCAACUUCCAAGUCCAUUAUCCCCCUGUGGCUAAACCAGGGAGUCACACAAACCUCAACGAUCAUGCUGUCUCGACUGCUGCCGCUUCACGUCCCACCCGGCUCGUGUUAAGUCCCACGGAAUCAAACCAACAGUCGAACCAACACUCAGCAAAUUGGGGCAAGACAAAAUUUUCCCAAUCAUCUCAGGUAAAUAAAUGGCAGCUCCAAACAAGUGCUCUCACUUCGUCCAUCAGACCAGAUACUGUGACUUCCACACAAAUGAACCACAUACAGCCCUGCACACCUCGAAUGCAGAACAGAAGAUCCUUCAUGACCAAUUUAAAAAACAAACGAAACCGCUUUAAGGCGGACUCAAACCAAGGGUUGGAUGCGGAAGAGAUUCUGCGGAGGAAAAGGAUGCACUGGAGAAUAAAGAAGCAGGAACAAAGAGCGAAGAAGGCAGCGAGAGAGAGAGAGCUCAGCCAGCAUGCACAAUUUAACCAACUGGGACCCAGCCUGUACAAUAAUAUUCCAGAGGUAGUUGUAAGCAUUCCACCCGAGAGACCAGAAUACCACCUCGAACAAUGUCAGGUUCCAACUCUUAAAGAUGAAGCGGAGCUGUGUUUCGUUCCUGAUGAUAAUUACACAGAAGAGCCCUUAACGGCAGCCAAGUGGAGAAACGCUUACCUUAUGGAUUAUGAUCCGGUCAACCAGCUGUUGGUCUGCAUGGUGUGUGGAGAGCAGCAGUACUGCCUCAGUGUGGAGGGGGCAACAGCUCACAUAGAAGAAGCCCACCCGGGCACCCUGUCUCUGGAAGAGAGGGAACGCCAGCGUAUCCUACAGGCCUGGGACGAGCAAGUGGCUAUGAGAGAGCGCUUCUUCACCAACCAGCUUUGGCAGCAAAGUGGCACGCUCCAAGUGGAAAACACGACACACACAGCAGAGAUAGAAGUGACUCUGGAUGCAGAAGACAUAAAACAAACCAAAACACGAACGUCUUAAAUCACCAACAGCUUUACCAGCGGAGGACGCAGGUGAGACAGACUGCUCUCCCACAUUUAUUUUAUCAAGAGAGCUAAAAAAAAAAAAAAAAAUAUCCAAACCCACAAAAGCACAGAGGAGCUUUGCAGGCCUCGUCUUAUGAAUCUGGAUCAGCAUGCUGUUCGUCUGAACUGCCUUAAGACCUGCUUCCCUCCUUUAAGCUCUCCUAAAGAGAGACCUGCCAUGUUUUUGUUUCCAUGUUUCUUAUCUGGACUGCACUCCUGAGAAAUACGGGGAUAUGUAUAGUGUGCAAUUUGUUAAAGUUUAUAAAUUUAUUGAACAUUUCAUUGUUUUUGGAUAGCCUGGUGAGCUCCUUGUGUUUUGGAGCUUUCCUGACCUGAUAUGUUUUUUUUGUUUAUUAAACUGACUGUAAAUUAAGUGAAAUGCUCAGUUUCUCAUAUUUCUCUGAGCUGGUUCUUUUAAUAUUUAAUAUUUUUCAACAGUUCCUUCCUCUGUAAGCUGUUGCUGUUUCAUACUGAACACAUAUGCACACAUACCUGACUUUGCAGCAAUCUUAGCAAUUAACUGCAACCCAUAUAAAUAAUGUGUAAUUAUGCCUUUGCUAUAUUUAUAUACUGUACAUUUGAACUGUUUUAUUGAAACUUUUCUGGAAAAUACUGUGCCUAGUGUAUAGACACGUUCAUGUCGUUACAUGUUUUUGCAUGAUGAAUAUGCUGUAAAACUCUUUCAUUUGAAAUUCAUUUAAACAUUUUGACCAUACCUUAGGGUUUGAGCUAAUUACAAGAGCAUGGAAACUUGAGCAACAUGAUUGAAACAUGGUGUAAGAAUGAAAACAACAAUGCUUUGCUCUAGCUAAACAUUCAAGCAGCGUAUCAAAAUGGUCUCAAUGCUUGUGUUCACAUUUCAAACCUGAUUUAUUCUGAUUUUUGGGUUUAAUCUGAUCUUUUUGACUUAAUGGUUCAUGUUUAUAUGGAUUAAUAACUUGUAUAGUGUGUGAACAUACCCAAGGCAAGCUCUGAAAAAAGAAUCGAAUUAAUGAAUGAAUGAAUGUACAUUAGAAGCAUUAACAUAAAGUGGGAUCCUAAAUAGCUUUUUCCUCCCUAGUACACUAAUUAGUAAUGUAUAUUAUAAUAGAAUCCCAAAAUUAUUGGAUGGAGGCAAAAAUCUGCUAGUUCUCAUUAAGGUCGCAUUGCCUGGAAUCAGACAUGUGCAGUGGUUUGCUAAAGUAGUCAUGUCUCUUUAAACUUUUCACAUUUUAUCACUUUACAACCACAGACUAUUUUACUGAUUUUUCAGUAUUUUACUGAGAUUUUGACUGAUGGACCCAACACAAAGUAGCACAUGGAACGAAAAUUAUACAUGGUUUUCUGAAUGUUAAUCCAAUAAAAAUCCCAUUUUCUUCCCA
rnacentral:lncRNA from 1 species